UCUCUGCGUCGCGCCGCGCCGCGCGCCAAAGCCGGGCUCCGCCCACCUCCUCGCCCUGGGGGCCCGCGGGGCUGGGGCGCUAAGCCGCGGGGGUUCCUGAAGCACCACCUCUCCCGGGGGCCGCGGGGCUGCUAAGGCCUUGGGCCUCGGGCGUUGGACCGCAAGGCCUUCUGGGAGGGACCCGUACCCCUUGGGGCAGGUACAAACGAUAAAGUGUGGCCCGAGAGCCCGGAUGAGGAUGGGCGAGGGUGUAGCUGCAGGGUGGGGAAGGCCGCACGCCCCAACUGCGGCUUAGGCCCCGCCCGCCAGCGUUAAUUUCAAACUGCGCGACCGUUUCUCGGCUCCCUGCGCCGCGGUGGGGGCCGGACCUAAUUCCGGGCGUAGGAACCCUGCCGGCGCGAGCCUUCCGCCAUUCACGGAAGCCAGUUGCGCAGGGGACGUAGGGCGGGUCUCGCUCAGCCUAUGCGGGGGAGGUGCACGCAGUUGGCGGAAGGGGCGUGUAGGCCCUUCCCGCCAUUGGCGGCGGUUAGGACGUUUACGUAAACGGCCUGACGUAGGCGGAGACGCGUUAGUGGGGGGAAGGUUCUAGAAAAGCGGCGGUCCCGGCUCCAGCGGCAGUAGCAGCGGCGCCGGGUUCCUGUGUGCAGGUGUCCCCCCGCGGCGCGGUGCCUUGGAGCGGCGGCAGCUCUCCCCACAGCGUCAGGACGAGUCCCGUGCGCGUUCGUCCGCGGAGGUCUUUCUCAUCUCGCUCGGCUGCGGGAAAUCGGGCUGAGGCGACUGAGUCCGCGAUGGAGAAAACUUUAGAAACUGUUCCUUUGGAGAGGAAAAAGAGAGAAAAGGAACAGUUCCGUAAACUCUUUAUUGGUGGCUUAAGCUUUGAAACCACAGAAGAAAGUUUGAGAAACUACUACGAGCAAUGGGGAAAGCUCACCGACUGUGUGGUUAUGAGAGAUCCUGCAAGCAAGAGAUCAAGAGGAUUUGGUUUUGUAACUUUCUCCUCCAUGGCAGAGGUUGAUGCCGCCAUGGCUGCAAGGCCUCAUUCCAUUGAUGGCAGGGUAGUUGAGCCAAAACGUGCUGUAGCAAGAGAGGAGUCUGGAAAACCAGGUGCCCAUGUGACUGUGAAGAAGCUGUUUGUUGGUGGAAUUAAAGAAGAUACUGAGGAACACCACCUUAGAGAUUAUUUCGAAGAAUAUGGAAAAAUUGAUACUAUUGAAAUAAUUACUGACAGGCAGUCUGGGAAGAAAAGAGGCUUUGGCUUUGUUACUUUUGAUGACCAUGAUCCUGUGGAUAAAAUUGUAUUGCAAAAAUACCACACCAUCAAUGGUCACAAUGCAGAAGUUAGAAAGGCAUUGUCUAGACAAGAAAUGCAGGAAGUCCAAAGUUCAAGGAGUGGAAGAGGAGGAAACUUUGGUUUCGGGGAUUCUCGUGGUGGCGGCGGCAAUUUUGGACCAGGACCAGGAAGCAACUUUAGGGGGGGAUCUGAUGGAUAUGGAAGUGGACGUGGAUUUGGGGAUGGCUAUAAUGGGUAUGGAGGAGGACCUGGAGGUGGCAAUUUUGGAGGUAGCCCUGGUUAUGGAGGAGGAAGAGGAGGAUAUGGUGGUGGAGGACCUGGAUAUGGCAACCAGGGUGGGGGCUACGGAGGUGGUUAUGACAACUAUGGAGGAGGAAAUUAUGGAAGUGGAAAUUACAAUGAUUUUGGAAAUUAUAACCAGCAACCUUCUAACUAUGGCCCAAUGAAGAGUGGAAACUUUGGUGGUAGCAGGAACAUGGGAGGACCAUAUGGUGGAGGAAACUAUGGUCCUGGAGGAAGUGGAGGAAGUGGGGGCUAUGGUGGGAGGAGCCGAUACUGAGCUUCUUCCUACUUAACCAUGGAUCUUUUAGAUGCUGCUUCUUCAAUGCAAGGAAAGGAAAUAACCCCAGCGAGGUACUCUUCAGGGACACAGGUCUAGUACAAGAGAACUCUUGACGACUAAGCUCAGCCAGUCUUAAAAAACUGUGCUGUAUCUACAAAGCUUAAACUACAGUAGUUGAUAAGGAUGCCAACGAAAGCUGAGGGUGUAGAGCAAAGUAGUUCUAAGCUUCAGUUAAACUUCUUUAGCAUUGAUAUGAACCAUGGACAAGUAUAUUCUGCUGCCACAAAGACUGUAAAGUGCUUCAUUUCAACAGCUGAGGCAAGCCAAGUGAUCAUUAAUAAAGCUUUUCUUGCUUCCUUCAGUGGUGUUGGUAGUAAAAUGGUAGGUAAAAGUUAGGCUGCAAGUUCAAUAAAUGAGAUUUACCUAUCAUUCCACCCUUGUGCAUUUAUUCACCUGUCCUGGAUCAAGCAGUUUGAGUCAACUAGGCAUUGAAAGACAUUGUGUUUAUUAGUUUAUGGUUCUAAUUUUACAUGCUUAUCAGGAUGAGACUGACCGGAGGUUAUAAGGAUAGUGUCUUUACUACAUAGAAAUUUUUGUGCAACGACAACAAAACCCUUUUGUGUACCCUGUACUAAAUAGUUGGGUUAAAAUUUGGUAAUUUUUGUCCAUUGUCCUACCCUAAACUACUGCAGGUUGGCUACUGAAAUUCAUUUCUUAAAACUACCCUCUAGUUUCUAGGCUUUAUUGCCUUUCCAGAAAUGAGAUAUUCAGGGCUUAUACACAUCAGUGAGUCUGCUUUAAUCCUAAAACCACCACUGAAGUUAUUUAGGUUCUUUGGACAAGCAUGAUAAACUUCUUCAGAUACUUUUUUUUUCCUUUGGCAGGAAGGUGUCUUGCUGCAGGUAACUAAUGAAGAAGUGGUCAACCACAGAGUCUUCAAGAAAUAAGAAAUUCUGUACCAUCUGAAAGUAGUUCUUGUUGGUGCCUUCAUUUAAGAAGCACUUUUAAGAUAAAAGGGAAUGUUUUCUGAUUAAAAACUUCAUUAGUACAGGUUCUUGAUAAAAAUACAAAAUGAAAUGAGUGCUGUUUGUAAAGGGUAACAUCAAAGUAGCUAAGGAUAAUGUAUUGUUUUAAAAUAGGAUUUGUGAGUAGACAGAUAAAAGCUCUAUUUUGAGUACAAGUUUUAUAAAAUAAACUUUUGUAUCCAAAUAACGUGGUGUAAUGCUUACA